ensembl:lncRNA
AGCGCAGCCUGUUGUAUUCCAUUUAGGGACUCGAUUGAUUGUACGUCUGCACCGGUGUGUAAGCGGUAACGCUAAGGGUAAAUAAGGUAGCUGUUCCCGGUUCAGAACACCAGCACCUCCCUGUGUAGGCCCUGCAGCGCGAGCGGAUUUCUGCGCACCGUGCAGAAAAUUCACGAAGUCUCUGUGGGGUUGUGAAAACCAGAAACAUUAGACUACAAGACAGACAUAAGAAAAUAUGCUCGCCCUGUGCAUUCUGCAUGUGCGCAGUGCAAAGGCCACAUUGUCGCACUUGAAGCUCUGACUGGACGUGUCCGGAGGAUUGUGCGCUUUCAGUCCAUCUGCACCUGAAAUUGCGGAUAGUUUCACUUUUAGAUGGUCAGAAAAGAGUGCUGCGUGAAAUGACGAGGCGUGGCUCCUGUCCGAAAUAUCAAGCUGAGAUGUCGAUUUCUCCCAAAAUCUACAUUUGUGGAAUCAGCAGCAGCUGUAAAAAUCCUUAUAACAUAUCUGCUGUGGGUCCCACAGGAUCUUAGCUCGGUGGUGGUGUCUCCGUACUCGGCACAGGUGUUUCUGUAUACUAUGACAACCACUUGGUUAUGGCUUUCCAUGUAUGUCCUGCAUGCUAGCAUCUUGCACCCUGCUGUUAUAAAGGAUGAACACCCUACAAUAAUGCAAAGAAAGUAUAGAAAUCCCAACAAUCAUCAUAAUUUAUUUAUAUAGCACUUAAAAAACACACAAGACCAAAGUGCUGAACAAUGGAAGUAUCAGAGAUGCAAUAAGAAUAAUAAAUACGAUAAAAUAAUAAACACAGUAAAAACACUAAAAUAUGUAAAAGCAGUACCCUGCCUCUCGCCCUAUGACAGCUGGGAUAGGCUCCAGCGCCCCCCGCGACCCUGAAAAGGAUAAGCGGAAGCAAAUGGAUGGAUGUAAAAACAGUAGAAUAUAAUAAUCAUAUGACCCCCUGUGAGCAAGUGCUUUAGCAAUAGUGGGAAGGAAAAAAUUAUUUUAACAGGAAGAAGCCUCCAGCAGAACCAGGCUCAGGAUGAAAUGUGUGGCUCGUUCUCUCCACGGACAGCACCCUGUAGCACAGAGGAUCCUCAGCAGACGGAAUCAUGAAGUCAUCUAAAACACUCUGGUAGACUGUUGUGGUGACCUUGGAUUUAAGAAAGCAGACUUUACCAACACCUGUACCGGACAUUACACCCCAAAUCAAGACUGACUGUGGAUAUUUCACACUGGACCUCAAGCAGCUUGGGUUGUAAUCCUCACCCGUCUUCCUCCAAACCCUUGGACCUUGAUUCCCGAAUGAAAAGCACACUUUACCCGAGGAACCCAACAGUUGUAGCCCAUCUCCUGCAUGCGUCUGAAUGUGGUGGUUUUCGAAGCUGUGACUCCAGCCUCGUUCCCCUCUCUCUGGAUCUCUGCCAGAUUCAUGAAUCUUCUCUGUUUGAAUUAAAACAUUCAUGCCCUGUAAAAUUUGCGUUGAUGUCUUCACAGUGUUCUAAUUUUUUGAAUUCCUGUUUUCGUGGGUUUUAUAAGCUGGAAGCCCAAAUCAUGUACAAAUAAACAACAAGUACUUGAAAUUGUUU